GCACUCUCUUCUCCUGCAUAGUGCUUUGGGCUCCGCACUACACCACAGACAGAUUUACUUCAGAUGUUACACCCAGGGUGUGAAGGGAUGAGCCAGGAGAAAAGUGGAGUGAUCGCCUUUCCUGGAGCUCUCCUCAGCGCAUUUCGCAGACCCCCACAGGUAUAUCUGGAGCCAUGAAUGUAUUUGGAACUUAGUAUCAUCUUGUUCAUUAGUGUGACUAGAGGGAGAAGGAGCAGAAGUUAAAUCUCUCCAAGCACAUCACUGAAAGACUACAAAAGUUGUGGUGAACGAACACAUGGAAAUGGC